UGUAAGUACACCAGAAGUUCUUGGUCGAAACCAUUAGCACUUAGCAGCGACCACCUUGUCCACCUCCACCCCCGUGUCCGCCUCCUCCCUUAUCACCGCCGCCUCCUUGUCCUCCAUGUCCGCCGCCUCCUUGUCCUCCAGGUCCGCCGCCUCCUUGUCCUCCAGGACCGCCUCCUCCUUGUCCUCCCGGACCGCCGCCGCCUCCUCCCGGACCGUGCAUCUUCUUGAUCUUGUUAAUUUGUUGUAGUUACACAGAGAC